ACAACAAACCAGAUUUUUUUUUGCAGCUGCAGGUCUGGUGCUGUGCUUAUUUAAUUCGUCUUCGUUAAGCGUAAAUUCUAGUAAAUUGUCUCGAAAGUGAGAACUGAAAGGAAGGCAUAUUAUUUGGCUUAGAAAUAUCCCUGAAACGCCGCCAGUAUCCAAAGAUGCUCCCAUGCCCGCUCCCAUUUACUGCAUUGAUCAUCAGGCAAGGACGAGGCUAUAAUACAGUACGCCGAAAAAACGACCGGGCUCGCGACCGAGCGGGACAUGGAAUCAUGGAAUCGGAAGAUAAUAUGUAGUUCCGGUCCCCAUUUGUGUCCGACGAAAACAUCAUCGUGCAUUGUAUAAAGAACUACCCUGCGAACCCCGACGAAUGCAUGGAUUUUUCCAGCCGCCUUGGCGAAUGAGAGCUUGCCGAGCUUGCACUAUUUAAUAAAGAAAUAAUUAAAAUAAUAAAAUUCAUAAACUUUA